rnacentral:rRNA from 1 species
ACGCUCGACACCUACGGGAGACAGCAGUGGGGAAUAUUGCACAAUGGGGGAAACCCUGAUGCAGCGACGCCGCGUGAGCGAAGAAGUAUCUCGGUAUGUAAAGCUCUAUCAGCAGGGAAGAAGAUGACGGUACCUGACUAAGAAGCACCGGCUAAAUACGUGCCAGCAGCCGACGGUAAUCUGAGGCGGGCUGGCAAGGC